rnacentral:rRNA from 1 species
AACGAACGCUGGCGGCAUGCCUAACACAUGCAAGUCGAACGAGACCUUCGGGUCUAGUUGCGCACGGGGGCGUAACGCGGGGGAACCUGCCCUUAGGUUCGGAAUACCUCCCCGUAGGGGGUGCUAAUGCCGGAUAAUGUAUUCGGACAAAAGAUUUAUCGCCUUUGGGUGGGCCCGCGUUGGUUUAGCCAGUUGGUAGUGGAAAAGCCUACCAAGGCGACGAUCGAUAGCUGGUCUGAGAGGAUGAGCCGCGACACUGGGACUGAGACACGGUCGGGAAUCCUAGGGGAAGGAGGAGAGGGUGAUACAGGACAACGGGGUAAGGCAUGAUCGCGCUAUGCUGGGUGAGUGAUGAUGUUCGUAGGGAAGUACAGCUCUUUUAUCCGGGGUGAUAAUGACGGUACCGGAAGAAUAAGCACCGGCUAACUCCGUG